rnacentral:rRNA from 1 species
GAUGAACGCUGGCGGCGUGCCUAAUACAUGCAAGUCGAGCGAACAGACGAGGAGCUUGCUCCUCUGACGUUAGCGGCGGACGGGUGAGUAACACGUGGAUAACCUACCUAUAAGACUGGGAUAACUUCGGGAAACCGGAGCUAAUACCGGAUAAUAUAUUGAACCGCAUGGUUCAAUAGUGAAAGACGGUUUUGCUGUAACCUAUAGAUGGAUCCGUGCCGCAUUAGCUAGUUGGUAAGGUAACGGCUUACGAAGGCAACGAUGCGUAGCCGACCUGAGAGGGUGAUCGGCCACACUGGAACUGAGACAGGGUCCAGACUCCUACGGGAGGCAGCAAUAGGGAAUCUUCCGCAAUUGGCGAAAGCCUGACGGAGCGACGCCGCGUGAGUGAUGAAGGUCUUCGGAUCGUAAAACUCUGUUAUUAGGGAAGAACAAAUGUGUAAGUAACUAUGCACGUCUUGACGGUACCUAAUCAGAAAGCCACGGCUAACUACGUGCAAGCCGCCGCGGUAA